UGGGGGAUAUUGCACAAUGGGCGAAAGCCUGAUGCAGCGACGCCGCGUGGGGGAUGAAGGCCUUCGGGUUGUAAACUUCUUUUGCUCUGAACAAGGCGCACCAUGGGGUGUGUUGAGUGUAGGGGUUGAUUAGCGCCGGCUAACUACGUGCCAGCAGCCGCGGUAAUACGUAGGGCGCGAGCGUUGUCCGGAAUUAUUGGGCGUAAAGGGCUUGUAGGUGGCUGGUUGCGUCUGUCGUGAAAGCUCAUGGCUUAACUGUGGGUUUGCGGUGGGUACGGGCUGGCUUGAGUGCAGUAGGGGGGGCUGGAAUUCCUGGUGUGGCGGUGGAAUGCGCAGAUAUCAGGAGGAAUACCGGUGGCGAGGGCGGGUCUCUGGGCUGUUACUGACACUGAGGAGCGAAAGCAUGGGGGGCGAACAGG
rnacentral:rRNA from 1 species